rnacentral:rRNA from 1 species
UAAGUAGGGGACAAUACCCCCUAUGAUGACGGUACCGUUUGUAAGCUCCGGCUAACUCCGUGCCAGCAGCCGCGGUAAUACGGGGGGAGCAAGCGUUGUUCGGAUUUACUGGGCGUAAAGGGCGCGUAGGCGGUCAGCACAAGUCAGUUGUGAAAUCUCCGAGCUUAACUCGGAAAGGUCAACUGAUACUGUGCGACUAGAGUGCGGAAGGGGCAACUGGAAUUCUUGGUGUAGCGGUGAAAUGCGUAGAUAUCAAGAGGAACACCUGCGGCGAAGGCGGGUUGCUGGGCCGACACUGACGCUGAGGCGCGAAAGCCAGGGGAGCGAACGGGAUUAGAUACCCCGGUAGUCCUGGCCUUAAACGAUGAAUGCUUGGUGUCUGGGGUUAUAUAGUCCCCGGGUGCCGUCGCUAACGCUUUAAGCAUUCCGCCUGGGGAGUACGGUCGCAAGACUGAAACUCAAA